rnacentral:lncRNA from 1 species
AUGCCUGAUGUAGCACUAGAAGAAGAAACCAUUUGUGUUGAUGAAGAUGUGCCUGUGAAGGAAGAAACAAAAAGUGAAGAAUCAAAGGCUGACUCCUCUUCUUGCGAACAAGACAAGUCUCCAAAAAAGAAAAGGAAAAGUUGUUAUGAGAGAACUUUCUUAAUAUUCACUGAUGCCUUAACAUUCCAUGACAGUUUUUACAAACAUUUCCAACAGUCGCAAAAGCCUCACAACCAUAUUUUCCCCAGAUUAUGUCCAAUCACUGGAAUGCCAGCCAAAUAUGUGGAUCCUGUCACAAAUGUUCCGUAUGACACCGCUCAGUCUUUCAAAAUCAUUAGGGAACUGUAUGCCAAUACCUGGAAACAAACGGCAACAGGGAUAUUAAAGAGGUUGCCGAGUGGUUGGAGUGGCAUGAAAACAAUAGCGGCAGUCUACUAGUAAAUUUAACUACUCCUGAUGCAGCUACGUCAAGCUAAAUUUGAUCAUCUGCCUACAGGUAUUUUUGACAACCUCUUGAAAACAGCUCACAUUGAUUUUGUUUGUUUAAGUGGAAUUAAUAUCAAAGUUUGAGGUUUAAAAUAAAAAUUCGAAAGAACUCUCUAGAGGAAGAACUGUUUGAAGCUUACAAGUGUCUAACAUAGUUCAUAAUGUGAUUGUAUACCAGCAUUGAGGCACUGAUUUGUUAGAGCUGUAUGAAUAGUGAAUUUUUCAAAAGAAGCGAAUAGCGAAUAAUAUUGCCAAAUUACUAUUUUAAUAGUUUAAGUUAAUUAUUCUCAACUACAAAUAAUAAUACAAAUAAUAAAAAAUGACUUUUUUAGGUUCAAAAAAUUGCAAAUGUUACGGAAGCCAACAACUAGAGUGAUUAAUUUUUUAAAAAAAUUUCCAUUUGCUCCUACACCUGUACAGAAAACAAGUGAAAUGCUAUGAUAGCAGCCUAGGCUGUUAAGAAUGUGCUUGAAGAUCCCUGGAUGCUGCCUUGACUGUCCCUGCAGUAAUGUACAUAUCCAUUCCCAGGAUUUAAAGUUAACUGCACGGGCAGUCAAGCUAGUAUUUAAGAAUCACCAGACACAUUUUUAGUAUUUAAUUUUUUUUUCGUUGAUGAAAAUGUGUUUAUAAACAUUUAUGACAGCGAUUAAAUUUGCAAGUGUCAAAUAGUUUGCAAGUCAGCUGAACGGUAAUCAUUCUGAAUGAUAUUAGAUGAUGAUACAGCGCCUUGUCAAUGAUUUAAAAUUUAAGCGAGACUAGGAAGUUGCUUGGAUUAUCAAGCUUUUCAGCUAAGAAGCUCAAAUGGAAAACUUUUGAUUUAAAUUAUUGAGGUAAUGUUGAUGAGAGGGGAAUUAUUUCUCCCUUUGUCACAAAAUGGAUUAAGUUUUCAACCGUCUAUGAUUCAUACACUGGGUAUUCACUGGCAUGCAACACUGAUUUCUAAUCAUCUAAUCAAGCUUUUCACGGUGGAAUUUGACCUUGUUGCCUUGCUUUACACCCUUAGCAAAGCUUGCACAUGUGUACAUUUACACCAGCUGAUUCAGUUGACUUCAGAUUACAGAGAAAAUAAGCCACUUCAUUUUUAACCAUAGAGCGACCGUCAUACUUACUUAUUUUAAAUCAUCGGUAGAAUUUUCGCUCAAUUUUGGAAUAUCCAAGGGCUGAACCAUCUCCAACUCUUUGGAUUACCGUGGGCAGCAAAAUACUUUGAUUCUUUUCAAAAAAUUAAGAAAUUUCUCAGGUAACAGACCUUUAAUUUAAAUUAAUGAGGUUUAAAUCACCGAUAGUGCACUGUAGUUAACAUGAACUGAGACUAAGAUUGAAUUAUAGUCAGACGCUAAAACCAGAAAGGGUGAAAGUGUCAAAUUUCUAAUAUAAGGGAUCCCUUGAAAUGGGUGUAUGUUUCAUAUUUUAAAUAUCAGAAACUUUAGUCGUACUACUUAGAAAAUUUCCACCCAAAAUUUGUAAAAAACUUUGCGCCUGCUCUUGAAUGAAUUACUGAAUUGUCGAGUAAUAAUUUGCAACUUUGCAAUGCAAUCCAGCUCUUGUGACUCUGACCCUCUUCGUUUUUUUGGUCCAAAACAAAAAUCCAUGGCUCGAAAGACUGGUAUUCCUGAUGCUGUUUCGUUUGUCAACAUGUGAAGUUUGUAUUGAGAUCAAUAAAGAUUUGUUCUCGUUAAAAGUUUGUUUUGAUUUUACACAUGGCCUGUCUUGAACCUCAGUUCAGAUUUCUGAUUGAAACUUAGCACUAAGUUAUCUAUACAUACGGUCUUCAAUGAACAUCAAUCUCUUCAAAUCACCAUUUAAGACCUGUAUAACGCACAAAGACCCCCCCCCCCCCCCCCCCCCCCUGCAAAGACCUGUUUUAGAUUACAGAUAGUUACCUGACACUUGUUGUCGUCAAAUAUUAUCUGUCAGUCCUGAGAAGAGCCAUUGCAAAAUUUGUAUAAACUAAAGUGUCCGUUAGAGAAAAAAAUUUGUCGGUUUUUUCUUGUUCCGCCCUGCGAGUUGUUCAUCAGCAAUAGCAAGCAUUUGCCUGAACUGAACACUCCCUCAGUCUUCCACUGGUACUCAUUAGAGUCUAUUUUUUACUCUUGAAUGCUAAUUUUUGGGCAGUGAUUUCCGCCCAAAAUUGUGUGAACCCGGCACAAUUCCUGUUCUGUACAGUAUUUGAACCAUAUUUAUGAAGUCAACCCCCGACAAGUCGAAUGCCGCAUGAAGCUUCCGCUACGUUGAAUUUUAACGUUGUCUAGUCGCAUUCCCAUAAAUCAUCCUAAAUCAUCGUAAACCUUGGGAAGGGCGCUCACGAAUGUGUGACUUCCAGCUCAAGCAGGUUUCUCGCCAGACGCACCUUGGCCAACCAGCGCCCCUUGCUUUUGUGCUCAACGAUGGAUUGGCCACCUCUAAUGGCGCAUGAGCGC